UUUUGGAAAAAGAAGCACUCUAGUCCACCACUUCACGAUCCCAUUUGUCAUCAUUAUAUUUUGUUUUGUUAACUACGAGUACAACUGAUGCAUAAAUAAUUCUUAACUGAACUAAAUCUUGCGUUGAGCUGCAAUUUUUAGGGCCCUUAAAUGGAAAGGAUAUAUAUGUUUUAAGUUUGGAAGAAACAACUGAAUGAUCCUUGCCGCAAAUCAUUAACAGCUAUAAAAACUCUUCUUUUCCACGAUAUUAAGCAAAUUGUUGUUUUAAAAAAACCAAACUUUCAACCAAAGGAUUUGAGGAUAAACACAACAACAAUAACAACAAUAUUUCCGGCAUAUGAAAUUUAAAGAGAAAAUACAAUUUUGCAAACGAAAUUUCUUUUGGCUCAUAAUCAAAAUUAAAUUUAAAUUGAAACCAAAAAUAUAGCACUUUACAAGCAA